UACGUAGGGGGCAAGCGUUGUCCGGAAUUAUUGGGCGUAAAGAGCGCGUAGGCGGUCCGAUAAGUCGGCUGUGAAAGUCAGGGGCUCAACCCUUGAAAGCCGGCCGAUACUGUCGGACUAGAGUCCGGAAGAGGCAAGUGGAAUUCCCGGUGUAGCGGUGAAAUGCACAGAUAUCGGGAGGAACACCAAUGGCGAAGGCAGCUUGCUGGGACGGUACUGACGCUGAGGCGCGAAAGCGUGGGGAGCAAACAGG
rnacentral:rRNA from 1 species